CCUCCACCAACAAGAACCUGUCUGCAAGAUUCCAGUUAGGAAAAUGUUGGAUCAGUAACUCGAUGUCCCUCCCACUGAAUAAGUCAUUGCUCGACUGAAUGAGUAGUCUUUAAUCAAGAACUGCAGCUGGUUGCAAAAUCAAUGUGAAAAUAGAAUCAACCAAAUCUAAUUGUAUGACUUGCAGAGCAAUCAAACAUGAAAAAGAGAAAGAAUAUGAGCAGAAUCUAUAAGCUCCAACUUGUGUAUAACUUCAAUUGUAGGGGUCGGAGUACUGAGUUUGUGAUGGUGCUGUAGGUGAAUCGAAUUCUAGCUAAAAGGCUAAAGUUUCAUAUAAACCCAAUCUCAUUCCUCAAAAUGAACCUCUUGUCUACGUCGAUCAGCCAAAGAUUUCCUUAAAUUCUGUUUAAGCAAGGAGAGAACUUUAUCGCGAUCUAAAAUGUAGUUUUCAACUAAUGCAUUACCACUCGAAUCAUGUAGGUUGAGGGUGACCAUAUAAAAUCUCAAACGUAGUUAUUUGAGCAGAGGUUUUGUAGGUCGUGUUAUACCAAUAUUCGACCUGUUAGAAUCAAGGUAAAACUACAAAGUGAAUGAACAAUGAAUAAAGAAAUGAAUUGAG
rnacentral:lncRNA from 1 species